AGAAUCAACGCUGGCGGCGUGCCUAACACAUGCAAGUCGCACGAGAAAGAGGAGCAAUCCCUGGAGUAAAGUGGCGCACGGGUGAGUAACACCGUGAAUAAUCUACCUCCGAGUGGGGAAUAACUGAGAGAAAUCUUAGCUAAUACCGCAUAACACUUACGAGUCAAAGCAGCAAUGCGCUUGGAGAGGAGUUCGCGGCCGAUUAGUUAGUUGGCGGGGUAAUGGCCCACCAAGACGAUGAUCGGUA
rnacentral:rRNA from 1 species